AGAAUCAACGCUGGCGGCGUGCCUCAGACAUGCAAGUCGAACGCGAAAGUUUCCUUCGGGGAGCGAGUAGAGUGGCGCACGGGUGAGUAACACGUAGGUAAUCUACCUUUGGGUGGGGAAUAACAGCCGGAAACGGCUGCUAAUACCGCAUAAUGGCAGCGGCUCGACAUCGAGACAGUUGUUAAAGCGGGGGAUUCGCAAGAACCUCGCGCCUAAAGAGGAGCCUGCGGCGGAUUAGCUAGUUGGUGAGGUAAUGGCUCACCAAGGCAUCGAUCCCGUAA
rnacentral:rRNA from 1 species